GGCUGGGGUUAGCUCAGUUGGUUAGAGCUUGGUGCUGAUAACGCCAAGGUCACGGGUUCCAGUCUGGCUG
rnacentral:tRNA from 1 species